rnacentral:lncRNA from 1 species
GACUCACUGGAGAGAGACUUCUACUAGAAAAAUUGCCUUGAUGUUAGGAAUUAAAAAAACAAAACAAAACAAAAAACAUGGAGCCGUAUUCUCCAGAAGCUUACAUCUGAUUUAACGAGACAGGAAAAGUGUUUUGGACUGAAUUGUUCUCUCUCCUCAUUAUCCUCCUUAAUGUGUGAAAGUCUCAAUGUAACUGUUGAUUACCUGCUCUCUAUUUCAUAAAGAGGAAAAACAGAUCCAGAGGACCAUUUCAUGAUUCAUCCUUUUUCAAAACGUUUCUUAAAACAUUAAAUAAAGUUUUAUUAUUGUAAACUGUUUA